CGGGCUAACUGAGUCUCAUCCAAUCACGGUCCAGAUAUCUGGGUGGGGUUAUAUAUAUACUGUUUUUCUGACAAAAUCUACUUUGAUUUUUUUAGUUUUUUGUGAAAUAAAAUUCCAAAACCUUGAAGGACAAACUGCUUUUUGAGAUUCCUACAUUGCCUACAAGGGACCACAUACAACAAAGCCUACUAAGGCCAUUUCUCAUCUCUUUUUUCCAUUCAAGACUGAAAAGGAAAAUGAGACCCAGAAGAGUCUGUCCUGAAAAGGAAGCUUUGAAAUUCAUCGCAUCUGGGAAAGAUAAAGACAUAUUUCAGUCAAGAGUCAAGAGAACGAUUGUUGAUGAAGAGAAAAGAGCACAUUUGUGUGCAUUUGUGACCACAAACAUCACUACAGGAGAAGAAAUGAUGUUCGACUGUGGAGAUCCUGACUGCUCAUGGAGACAGGUAGCAGGAUGCUUGGUCCAUUACAUCCUGACGGAUGGACAACACCCUCAUCAGACUACUACACCCUACACCCAGGAUCCACUUGGUCUGUCUCUACAUGUCAGAACGAGUAACUUGAGUCUUCAAUGGGAUGAAAGACAAAAAAUAUCUUAAGCAGAAUGAUGAGCAAAUCAGUGGAAGAGCAUCCUACUAUUGAGGAAUGCCUUCAGGAAGUCAAAACUAUGUGCAAAGACUUAUUGUAGAGUUUACAAUAAGCAUUCAAAUGAUUAGAUAUAAAUACUGGUGUGCAUUUGAUCACUGGUCUUAUCAAAUAUGAACCAAAAACAGCUACAGCAAUGUCCAUGUGGUUUCAGGAAAUAAUGACACAAAUGAUGAUCUUUCUGAAAUAAGGGCUGCCGGCUCAGAAAAGACUUCAGACUUCAGUCUCGGAUACAUCAGUAAAUCACUAGUGCCAUUAAAUCAAAACGCAAGAGCCAGAAAGCCCUGGUCAGAAACAGAGAGGAAAGUCAUAGAACACUGUUUCAAGAUCUACUUUGAGGAAAUGAAGGCUCCUGGAAAAGUGGACUGUGAAAGAUGCAUAAAUGCAAACAGGAUUCUAAAGGGUAAUGGAAGAGACUGGAAAACAGUUAAAUACUUUGUGCUCAACAGAAUAAUUUCAGUUAAGAGAAGUUUGGGUCAACAGUACUGAGCCCAUAAACCCUGAGAGCUAUUUUUAGAGAGAUUAUGAGAAUAAAGUUUGACUUGAUUUCAUUCAAAAUGCUGUUUUGUUUUUUCACAAUAUCCUUUUCAGUGCAGGAAGUCUCCAUAUAUAUAUAUAUAU